GGGAGCGCGCGGGGCUGCGCCGCUGGGCUCCGCCUCGCGCGCUCGGGGCGGGGCCUGUGCUGAGGGGGCGAAACGGGCCCCGCUGCCCGCGGUGCGCCCGGGACCCCGGCGCGGCCCUGCCUGCCCGUGCGGCGUCUGGCGCUCCCCGAGCCGUGCCUCGUGUGAGCCCCCGGCCCGAGGAAAGGAGGAGAAGCGGUGCGGCUGCGGGUCAGGCUCACCUCAGGACGCUGGCGUGCCGGGCUCUGCAGCUGCUAAUCUUGCUUUGUUCUUUGGUCUCAUGUUCCACACUACAGCCUCAGCCCAAAAUGAUCUGAACUUCGGACACCUCUAACCAGGAACCAGCUAUAGCCUGCAGGUGGUUGGAUUAGUGCUGUCGCAAGCUGUGCCUGAAAGGAAGUCCUGUAUGCUCUGAUAUGAUAAAAAUUAAAUUUUUUCUAGAUUUCUGAAUU
rnacentral:lncRNA from 12 species